rnacentral:rRNA from 1 species
UAGGGAAUCUUCGGCAAUGGGGGGAACCCUGACCGAGCAACGCCGCGUGAGUGAAGAAGGUUUUCGGAUCGUAAAGCUCUGCUGUUAAGGAAGAACGAGUGUGAGAAUGGAAAGUUCAUACUGUGACGGUACUUAACCAGAAAGGGACGGCUAACUACGUGCCAGCAGCCGCGGUAAUACGUAGGUCCCGAGCGUUGUCCGGAUUUAUUGGGCGUAAAGCGAGCGCAGGCGGUUAGCUAAGUCUGAAGUUAAAGGCAGUGGCUCAACCAUUGUAGGCUUUGGAAACGGGUUAACUUGAGUGCAGAAGGGGAGAGUGGAAUUCGAUGUGUAGCGGUGAAAUGCGUAGAUAUAUGGGGGAACACCGGUGGAGAAAGCGGCUCUCUGGUCUGUAACUGACGCUGAGGCUCGAAAGCGUGGGGAGCGAACAGG